rnacentral:rRNA from 1 species
GGUCACANCCGGGAAUCGACUUUGAGACGCCGGACGGAGUUUGGCAGAGGGGGGUGGAAUUCCACGUGUAGCAGUGAAAUGCGUAGAGAUGUGGAGGAACACCGAUGGCGAAGGCAGCCCCCUGGGCCAAUACUGACGCUCAUGCACGAAAGCGUGGGGAGCAAACAGGAUUAGAUACCCUGGUAGUCCACGCCCUAAACGAUGUCAACUAGGUGUUGG